CCAAGAGAGACACUCAGACAUGAAGUGAAACCGAGCACAGGCGCGAGAUCUAAUAAAAAACGCUCUUCGGGCAGAACAUCAAGAAACUGCGACAAGCUUCAGGAGUCAUGCUGAAAUCUGUGACAGAUGUAACGAUUCGCAAACGCAAAACAACAACUGAGGAGCGCAUGAUAAAUGAAACACAAGUACAAGCUCGUUUCGAACCGGGAGCUGUCAACACAACGACUCGCAAUGCUGCACCUCCAUCUGAGCCUCUGCCAGGAGUUUGAACCAACCCGUUCUCAUCAGUCUGCGUAUAAAUAACACGACUUUACACUUUCUAUUUGCGUGUAAUGCAUACGCCAAAUGCCAUUUUUGCGUGCAUAUGAUACGCCAAUCCUUCCCAUUAAUUUCGGUGGAGAGCAGAUGCGUCCAAAUAACACGCAUCAUCUUCAGCGGCAGUGACGUCACCAGCGAGGCUCGUUCAGUUCACCUGAUGCGCGUACACCUUCAAACAGGUAAGCAAGGUUACGUCGGAUUACAUACUCCACAACAACCUGUAAUCCAGCAGAUCUUUAAAGAAGCCAUCUCUUGUAAAAUCUCUCUCUCUCUCUCUCUCUCUCUCUCUCUCUCGCUCUGCUAGAAUUAACAGGGAACUUCAACUCCACGCUCCCAAUGCUGAUAUUGAAGAAGCUGUCAAGGGGGCUGAACAAGUCCUUCAAAGGAUCAACCCUUCACAGGAAGGCCUGUCAUGAGAUUUGAAUUUGACCAUCUUGUGCAUUUAUGAAGAAGACCAAAAGCUGCAAAGGUAAACACUUCCAAUGGAUUUCUCACAGAUUACUUAAUCAUUCUUCAUCAGCUCUUCACAAUAUCAGCCCAUUCAAAAGCUUCCAGAUCUUCCUCUCUUGUGUGACACAUCUGCUCUCAGUCCUUUACUGCCAACCUCCAGUCUUAGCAUUUCUGCUUGUAUUCAUUUUUGCUCUACAUUCAUCACUCCAAUCUCUACUAUAAGCUCUCCUGUAUAUAUAUAUACACAUAAUAAUAAUUAUUAUUAUUAACCAUUUAUUUGUUUUGCAUUUAUUCACAAUAGAAGCAAACAAUGAUUACAGGAUAUAUGUUUUUAAAGGUGAUAAUUGUAAAAUAUUGGAGCAUUGUUCUUAAUUUGGUUGAUAAAGGGAAGAAAACAAUAUAUUUUCAACUGUAGCCUUGAUUAUUCUUUGGCAUCUUUUGUCAGGAUUAUUAUAAAUUAUAAAUGAAUAUUAAACUUAUGUUUUUUGAAGGGAGUUUCUGUUGCAAUUUUGUUUGUUUGUUUUCACUUAGUUACCUCUAUGCAUUUUUUUUUAUCAACUUUUCUUUUUUUUUUCAUAGUGGAAUAAACUGGAGAGAGACUGUUCUGGGCACUAUGUUUAUCUGCGAAAAGUUUGACAUAUCAAUAAACACUGUAAAAUGACUAGACAA